AAAAUGAUUAAAAAUACUUCCAGAAGGGCUACAGGUCCCAUCUUUCGUCUCAUUCCCUCUCUCUCAAUGGACAACAAGUAGAGACUGUAAAAUUAAAAAUGCCCUGGUAGGAACCUAUGUUUCCAGUCAAAUGUGCUUGUAUAGCCCAAAAUAUAAACGCGUUUUUCUAUUAAAAGGUUCUAUACAAAAACGCUUUUAAUUACAUGACAUUGCCCGUCUAUGUGUGCCCUUUAGUUUAAAAAAAACCCCAUCCAGAUUGGAUGUGUACUUUUUGAUUUAUUCACGUUUUGGUGUACCGCCAUAUAGCCCAACAUAGUAACCGGACAGUAUUUCAUUUUCGGGUUCCCAGGUGCACGUUUCCAAUAACCAGGUGCACACGGAUGUAUAGGGUCCCCCCAUGGAUAGAGGUCCGUGUUAGGGUGCUCCAUAUCGGGCAUGAAUAUCAGGAACACCGGCAGGUGCACUUAGGACCAUGUUUUAAUUUUUCAGAUUCCCAGGUGCACAGAGAUCCUAAUCCGCAUCCAUCGAAAUCUCACAAAGUGUCCAUAAAUCACUCAGGGAGGGCCCCCAUGGAUACAGGGCCGUAGUAGGAUGCUCCUAUAGUGGGCAUUAAUAUGAGAAUGACCGAAAAGUGCAUUUAGGACCAUAUUAUAAUUUUCGGGUUCCCAGGUGCACGUUUUCAAUAACCAGGUGCACGGAUGUAUAGGGUCCCCCCCAUGGAUAAAGGUCCGUGUUAGGGUGCUCCAUAUCGGGCAUGAAUAUCAGGAACACCGGCAUGUGCACUUAGGACCAUAUUUUAA